rnacentral:lncRNA from 1 species
CUCUCUCUCUCUCUCUCAUCUCUACCCACUUACAAAUCACUACCCUCUCUCUCAUCAAUUCAACCGAGCCAGGAGGAAGAACUCGACGACUCUCUGCUUCCAGAUCUGCCUCCGGGGAAAUCACUACAAAAGGUUGGCAAAAUAUUAACCCUUAAACCCCAGUUCUAAGUGAUUUUCUCGUGUAGCUCCAGAAAUAUAAUUUUAAGUAUAUAUGUUUGUAAGUUUUGUGAAAAAAAAAAGUUGUGGACAGUGACCGCUUCUUGUAAUUGUUUAAAUUUCUGAAUACAUGCUAAGAUCAGUUUUUUCGUUCACGAGGUAGCUGAUAAAUAAUUUUUCAUCAGAUUAGUGGUUAUUGUAAUUCGCCUUUUAUUUCAAUUAGCUUUUCGGGUCGAUUUUUUUCUCCUGCACAAUGUUCUUAAUUACUUUAAAUUUAGUAAGAAAUGGUAAGUCAGAAGAUAUCUGCUCCGCUGCUUGAACGACCCUAACAAACCUGUCGACCAGAAAUUCUAAGUAGGCGGUAUUCAAAACUUUCAUAUCCUGUUUCUCCAUAUUCGCUCACAAAAAGAAAACCAUAGGGGAGAGAGUAAAUAAAGGGGUGGGGAGAGGAGUAUAUAACCUUAGUGUAGGGCGAGAAUUAUGAGGCGUUUAUCUGAUUGUAUAUGGUUAGUUGAGAAAUGACGUUAGUUAGUAACAGUUGGCAGGCCUGAACAGAUUGACACACCUGGUAUACGGUAGUCUCUGAAGUGUUGGUGACCACCGUUUAAUGAGUUAGUUUUUUUUUCCUUUUUCUCACAUGGUUUCCUAUUGCAAAGUGAAAACACUGCGCAAAACAAAAGGUAAUACUCAAAUCUUCUCACUUUUUAUGGUAAGUGUCAUGACUAUUAUAAGAGCGAGGUUCAGGGUUAUAGCAUUGAAUUAAUUGAUGGUAAUCUACA